rnacentral:rRNA from 1 species
ACAUGUCUUUUUGAGUAGAAUAUAAAGUCUGACCUGCCCACUGAGUUUUAAAGGGCCGCGGUAUCUUGACCGUGCAAAGGUAGCAUAAUCAUUAGUCUUUUAAUUGAAGGCUGGUAUGAAUGGUUUGACGUGGUACUAGCUGUCUCAAUGGUAAAGAAUAGAAUUUAACUUUUAAGUAAAAAGGCUUAAAUGAUAAUAGAGGACGAGAAGACCCUAUAGAGCUUUAUAAAUGGGGAUAGUAGAAUUUAUUGUAGUUGAUUAUAAAUUUAUUAUAAAUAUUUAUUAUAUUGGGGUGAUAUGAAGACAGGUGUAACUCUUCAUUUGUGAAAACAUUGAUAUAUGAUUAGAUGAUCCAUUAUUAGUGAUUAUAAGAAUAAGUUACCUUAGGGAUAACAGCGUAAUUUUUUUUGAGAGUUCAUAUCGACAAAAGGGAUUGCGACCUCGAUGUUGGAUUAAGAAUAUGAUUAGGUGUAGAAGUUUAAUGGUAUAG